AGCGAACGCUGGCGGCAGGCCUAACACAUGCAAGUCGAACGAAGCCUUCGGGCUUAGUGGCGGACGGGUGAGUAACACGUGGGAACGUACCUUUUGGUUCGGAACAACUCAGGGAAACUUGAGCUAAUACCGGAUGAGCCCUUAGGGGGAAAGAUUUAUCGCCGAAAGAGCGGCCCGCGGUAGAUUAGCUAGUUGGUGAGGUAAAGGCUCACCGAGGCAACGAUCUAUAGCUGGUCGGAGAGGAUGAUCAGCCACACUGGGACUGAGACACGGACCAGACUCCUACGGGAGGCAGCAGUGGGGAAUCUUGCGCAAUGGGCGAAAGCCUGACGCAGCCAUGCCGCGUGAAUGAUGAAGGUCUUAGGAUUGUAAAAUUCUUUUACCAGGGACGAUAAUGACGGUACCUGGAGAAAAAGCCCCGGCUAACUUCGUGCCAGCCGCCGCCGUAAGAC
rnacentral:rRNA from 1 species